UCGAACGCGAUUGAGGCUUCGGCCUCAAUUGAGUGGCGAACGGGUGAGUAACACGUGGGUGACCUACCUUCGAAUGGGGGAUAACGUCCCGAAAGGGACGCCAAUACCGCAUAACAUCCUGUCCUUGAAUGGGCGGAGAUCAAAGCCGGGGAUCGCAAGACCUGGCGUUUGUUGAGGGACCCGCGUCCGAUUAGCUAGUUGGUGAGGUAACGGCCCACCAAGGCGACGAUCGGUAGCCGGCCUGAGAGGGCGGACGGCCACACUGGGACUGAGACACGGCCCAGACUCC
rnacentral:rRNA from 1 species